AUGAACGCUGGCGGCGCGCCUAAUACAUGCAAGUCGAGCGAGAAGACGUAGCAAUACGUUUGUAAAGCGGCGAACGGGUGAGGAAUACAUGGGUAACCUACCCUCGAGUGGGGAAUAACUAGCCGAAAGGUUAGCUAAUACCGCGUACGCUCCUUGGACUUCGGUUCAGGGAGGAAAGCGAUACCGUGGGUAUCGCGCUCUUGGUUGGGCUCAUGUCCUAUCAGCUUGUUGGUGAGGUAACGGCUCACCAAGGCUUCGACGGGUAGCUGGUCUGAGAGGACGAUCAGCCACACUGGCACUGCGACACGGGCCAGACUCCUACGGGAGCAGCAGUAAGGAAUAUUGCGCAAUGGGCGAAAGCCUGACGCAGCGACGCCGCGUGGGGGA
rnacentral:rRNA from 1 species